GAUGAACGCUGGCGGCGUGCUUAACACAUGCAAGUCGAACGAAGCAUUUGCGACAGAUUUUUUCGGAAUGAAGUUGCUUAUGACUGAGUGGCGGACGGGUGAGUAACGCGUGGGUAACCUGCCUUGUACUGGGGGAUAGCAGCUGGAAACGGCUGGUAAUACCGCAUAAGCGCACAAUGUUGCAUGACAUGGUGUGAAAAACUCCGGUGGUAUAAGAUGGACCCGCGUCUGAUUAGCUAGUUGGUGAGAUAACAGCCCACCAAGGCGACGAUCAGUAGCCGACCUGAGAGGGGGACCGGCCACAUUGGGACUGAGACACGGCCCAGACUCCUACGGGAGGCAGCAGUGGGGAAUAUUGAACAAUGGAGGAAACUCUGAUGCAGCGACGCCGCGUGAGUGAAGAAGUAAUGCGUUAUGUAAAGCUCUAUCAGAAGGGAAGAUAGUGACGGUACCUGACUAAGAAGCGCCGGCUAAAUACGUG
rnacentral:rRNA from 1 species